rnacentral:lncRNA from 1 species
AAAAUUUUUAAAAUAUAAAUAAAAAAUAAAUUAGGGGAAAAAAUAAAAAUAAACAGAAAAGAAAAAAGUAACAAAGUAAGAAAAUAAAAAAUUAGCGAAUCAAAAAAAUAUAAAAAGACAAAAUGAAUAAAACUUUUAGUUUAGAAUGUACAAAGAAAAACAAAAAAAAAUAUAACAAAUAGAGGACAAAGAUAUAAAAUAUGAAAGAUGAAAAAUAAAAUAAAAGUUAAUAAAAAAUAUAAAUAAAAAUAAAAGAAAGUGCACAAAAAAAGAAGUUUGAGGUUUUAAAAUUAUAAAGAAGAAAUAAAAAAAAGUGUGAACAAAAAGAUUUAAGCAAAAGCAAGAAAAAAAAUAAAAAAGGAAAAUACAAAAUAUAUAAAAUAAAAUUUGAGAAAAAAAAUGAAGAGGCAAAAAUAUGAAAGAAAACAAAAAGAAAAAAAUUUAUAGAAAAUUUUAAAACAAAGAAAAAAGUGAACAAAAAAAAUGAAAGUACAUAAAAAAAAGAAGAAAAAUUUGAAAGGAGAAAAAGUUAAUGAAAAAUUAUAAAAAUGCAAUAGAAAAUAACCAGAAUGAUAAAAGAAAAAAGAUAGAAAAAUAAAAAUUCCAAAAACUUUAUAAAAAUUAUGAAACUAUAAAUAAAGAAAAAAAUAAAAAAAAAAAAAAAAUAAAGCAAAAAAAAAAAGUAAGAAAAUAAAAAAGGACAAAAAUUGAAUAAAAAUUCAAAAAUGAAAUGGAAUGACAAAUGAAAAAAAAAUUAGUUUAAAAAAUACAAAAAAUUGAAAAACAUAUAAGACCUAACAAUAUAAAAGUCAACAAAAAAUUAAAAAAGAGAAAAGUUAAUGCCAAAAAAAAAAAGUAUGAGAAUUAUAAAAUGCAAAUAAGAAAUGAAAGGAAAUUUUGAGAGAAAAAAAGAAAGGAAGAAAAGAUACAAAUGAAAGACGAAAGAUUUUGGAAUAAAAGACAGAAAAUAAAAAUUUUAAAAACAACGAAAAAGUAAAAACAAGAAAAAAUGAAAGUAUACUGAAAAAAAAGCAACAAGAAGAAGGAAUUUGUGGAGGGAAAGUUAUUAAAAAAUUUGCAAAGUAGAGAAAGUUAAAAAGAUUCAAAAAUAAGAAAAAAUUGACUUAUAAAAUUCCUGAAAAUAUAAAUAAAAAAUAAAUGAAAAGAUAAUUAAGGAAAAAAAUAAAAAUUAACAAAAAGAAAAAAGUAACAAAGUAAGAAAUAAAAAAAUUAGGGAAUCAAAAAAAUAUCAAAAGACAAAAUGAAUAAAAAUUUGAAAUAUAAAAUGGAAAAAAACUUUUAGUUUAGAAUGUACAAAAAAAAACAAAAAAAAAAUAUAACAAAUAGAGGACAAAGAUAUAAAAUAUGAAAGAUGAAAAAUAAAAUAAAAGUUAAUAAAAAAUAUAAAUAAAAAUAAAGGAAAAUGCACAAAAAAAGAAGUUUGAGGUUUUAAAAUUAUAAAGAAGAAAUAAAAAAAAGUGCGAACAAAAAGAUUUAAGAAAAAGCAAGAAAAAAAUAAAAAAGGAAAAUACAAAAUACAUAAAAUAAAUUUUGAAAAAAAAUGAGAAAAAGAAGAAAAAAUAAAAAAUGAAGAGGCAAAAAUAUGAAAGAAAAGAAAAAGAAAAAAAUUUAUAGAAAAUUUUAAAACAAAGGAAAAAGUGAAGAAAAAUAAAUGAAAGCACAUAGAAAAAAGAAGAAAAAUUUGAAAGGAGAAAAAGUUAAUGAAAAAUUAUAAAAAUGCAAUAGAAAAUAACCAAGAAUGAUAAAAGAAAAAAAGUUAGAAAAAUAAAAAAUUCCAAAACUUUAUAAAAAUUUAUGAAACUAUAAACAAAGAAAGAAAAUAAAAAACAAAAAGAUAAAAGAUAAAUAAAGCACAAAAAACAAAAAUACAACAAAAAAUAUAAAAAGUAAGAAAAUAAAAAAGGGCAAAAAUUGAAUAAAAAUUUCAAAAUUGAAAUGGAAUGACAAAAUGAAAAAAAAUAGUUUAAAAAAUACAAAAAAUUGAAAAACAUAUAAGACCUAACAAUAUAAAAAGUCAGACAAAAAAUUAAAAAAGAGAAAAGUUAAUGCAAAAUAAAAAAAGUAUGAGAAUUUAAAAGCGCAAAUAAGAAAUGAAAGGAAAUUUGUGGGAAAAAAAUAGAAUAGCAAGAAAGAAAAAUAAAGACAAAAGAUUUGGAAUAAAAAAACAAAACAACAAAAAAUUAAAACAAGUAAAAAUGAAAGCAUAUGAAAAAAAAAAAGCAAAGAAGAAGGAAAUUUUGUGAAGGGAAAAAGUUAUUAAAAAAUUACAAAGUAGAAAAAAAAAAUAAGAAAAUAAAAAAGAUUCGAAAAAUAAAAAAAAUUGAACUUUAUACAAAUUUUUAGAAUAUAAAUAAAAUAACUGAAAAAAUAAAUUAAGAGAAAAAUUAAAUAAAAUACCAAAAAAGGAAAAAAUAAAAAUAAACAAAAAAAAAGUAACAAAGUAAGAAAAAUAAAAAAUUCGCGAAUCAAAAAAUAUAAUGAAAACAAAAUGAAUAAAAAUUUCAAAUAUAAAUGGAAAAAUCUUUUAGUUUAGAAGUACAAAAAAAAAAAUAGCAAAGAGAGGAACAAAGAUAUAAAAUAUGAAAGAUGAAAAAUAAAUUAAAGUUAAUAAAAAUAUAAAUAAAAAUAAAAGAAAGUGACAAAAAGAGAAGUUUGAGGUUUUAAAAUUAUAAAGAAGAAAUAAAAAAAAAAGUGUGAACAAAAAGAUUUAAGAAAAAGCAAGAAAAAAAAAAAAAAGGAAAAUACAAAAUACAUAAUAGAUAAUACAUAAAAUAAAUUUUGACAAAAAAAUGAGAAAAAGAAGAAAAAAAUAAAAAUGAAGAGGCAAAAAUAUGAAAGAAAAGAAAAAGAAAAAAAUUUAUGGAAACUUUUAAAACAAAGGAAAAAGUGAACAAAAAAAAUGAAAGCACAUAAAAAAAAGAAUAAAAAUUUGAAAGGGGAAAAAGUUAAUGAAAAAUUAUAAAAAUGCAAUAGAAAAUAACCAAGAAUGAUAAAAGAAAAAAAGAUAGAAAAAAAAAAUUCCAAAACUUUAUAAAAAUUUAUGAAACUAUAAACAAAGCAAGAAAAUAAAA